rnacentral:misc_RNA from 1 species
GAUGAAGAACGGAGUGAAAUGCGAUAAGUAAUGCGAAUUGCAGAAUCCGUGAGUCAUCGAAUCUUUGAACGCACAUUGCGCCCUUUGGUAUUCCGAAGGGCAUGCCUGUUCGAGCGUCAUUAUCACCCCUCAAGCCCCGGCUUGGUGUUGGGCUCUCGGUGGUCGUCUCCGACCACCCGUCUCAAAGAUAGUGACGGCGUCCCAGAGGGAACCGGUACGAGGAGCUUUCACGAGCAUGUACGCGGGACGACUCUGCGGGCGACGGUCUUAUUUACUUUAUAUACAAGUGUUGACCUCGGAUCAGGUAGGAAUACCCGCUGAACUUAAGCAUAUCAAUAAGCGGAGGA